GCCGCUGCACCCGGCCGCCUGCCCCGCCGGCACCGCCCGCAGCCCGCUGAGCGCCCUCAACACCGACCCGGCUGGCUCUGUGAACAAGCAGGGGGACAGCAUCCUGUGCCGCUGAACUCCACACCCAAGGUGUGCAGCAGGCAGAUCCAGAGCCAGAGGAACAGAGAAAGACACAUUAGAGAGGGAGGGGGAAAAGAAAUAUCAGCCAUCAGACCAGAGGAAAAAAUCAUUCAACCCCAGAGUCGUUUCCAUACUUCAUUCCAAGAGAGAACCUUUCACCAUUUUGCACAUCCAUAGCAUUUAAACGCAUCCUUUUUUGUUGUUUUUUUUCCUGUUCCUUUUAUAUCAGAUGUGAAUUGUAUGUUUAUUUUGGUGGGAGGAGAUUUAAACCUUAAGCAGAAAAAACAGGACUCUUCUGUUGGAUAGAAGAUCAAGAGUAAAUCAAACUUUAGGAGUAUAACUAUAAAAGGACAGAACAGCUGAAUUGUGAAGCUUUACUAAUCUACCAGAGCAUUGUAGAUAUAUUUGACAUCUAUUGUUUAAAAUAGAUGAUUUUAUUCGGGCCCAGGGAACUUUCUUCUCCCUGCAGGAAUGUUACAUAUUGUAUAGAUAAAUGAGUGACAUUUCAUACUGUGUAUAUAUAGAGAUGUUCUAUAAGUGUAAGUGAGAAAAGUAUAUGCUUUAAUAGACUACUGUAAUUAUAAAAUAUUUUUAAUUAAAUAUUUUUUGUAAAUAUGAUAAAGGUGUGUAUGUUUUUUUUAAUCUGUGGGUACAUUCCUUUAGAAAAUUAUUUACAGCUCAAGUACAGAGCUCCUAAUAUGAAAAUUAUCUUAAAUGUUGAGGAUUUUUCACCCAAUGUCUUUUAGACUCGGAAGUUACAGCUAUAGUUAGUGGUCCUGCAUGAUUGCAUGAGAUGUCUAAUUGCAAAUAAACUUGUUCUGAGUCAAUACAGACGUGUUUUCUUCAAUCUAGAUUGAAAAUGUUUGUAACUGUAUUAUACAUUUGGAAACUACAGUUUUGUCAGUUAGGCACAGGGGUUUUUAGUCCACUAUGUACAAGUAGCAUUAAAACAGUAGUGUUUUUUUACUGAGAUUAGAAAAACAAAGUAUAUCUACUUUUUUGCAUAUGGGGCAAUGCUUUAGGUCUCCAAUCAGCUUUUAUAAAUCUGCUCUUGCAUCAAAAUCAAGGAACUUGCUAGGGAAAAUUCAUUUAACACCAAAAGGUUUAUCAUCACAAACUCUCAUUCUGAUAUUUAAAUAAGUGAAAACAAGUUUUUUUUCUGCUUGCAACCAAAGGGCAAAACCAUUGAUAAAUAAACAGCUAAUCUUUCCUUCGUCCAAAGAAUAUUGAUACUGGACUGUGGAAAAGCACACGGGCAAAGUCAUUAUGAUCAAUGAUGUAAAUCCAUCUUAACAUGAACUUAAGUAGACCAAAAAUCGGAAAACUGCGUCAAGAUUAUUUUUCUAAUACGAAAUGACUAUCACUUCAUUGCAGCUAUGUUACAGUUAAAAUCCUGUUUAAUCUCUGUGAUGUGUAAUUUCUCCAUGUGAACAUUAAACUAGAUUUGCCUGUCUUUAA